GAGUUUGAUCAUGGCUCAGAUUGAACGCUGGCGGCAUGCUUUACACAUGCAAGUCGAACGGUAACAGGGAGCUUGCUCCGCUGACGAGUGGCGAACGGGUGAGUAAUGCGUCGGAACGUGCCGAGUAGUGGGGGAUAACGCAUCGAAAGGUGUGCUAAUACCGCAUACGAACUGAGGUUGAAAGUGGGGGACCUUCGGGCCUCACGCUAUUCGAGCGGCCGACGUCUGAUUAGCUAGUAGGUGAGGUAAAGGCUCACCUAGGCGACGAUCAGUAGCGGGUCUGAGAGGAUGAUCCGCCACACUGGGACUGAGACACGGCCCAGACUCCUACGGGAGGCAGCAGUGGGGAAUUUUGGACAAUGGGCGCAAGCCUGAUCCAGCCAUGCCGCGUGCCUGAAGAAGGCCUUCGGGUUGGAAAGGACUUUUGUCUGGGAGCAAAUACCCGGUGUUAAUAGCG
rnacentral:rRNA from 1 species